rnacentral:rRNA from 1 species
UACGUAGGGGGCUAGCGUUGUCCGGAAUCAUUGGGCGUAAAGAGCGUGUAGGCGGCCCGGUAAGUCCGCUGUGAAAGUCGGGGGCUCAACCCUCGAAUGCCGGUGGAUACUGUCGGGCUAGAGUGCGGAAGAGGCGAGUGGAAUUCCGUGGUGUAGCGGUGAAAUGCGCAGAUAUCAGGAGGAACACCAAUUGCGAAGGCAGCUCGCUGGGACGUAACUGACGCUGGAGACGGCGAAAGCGUGGGGAGCAAACAGG